GUCUAUGGCCAUGCUACCCUGAACAAGCUCGAUCCCGUCUGAUCUCGGAAGCUAAGCAGGGUCGGGCCUGGUUAGUACUUGGAUGGGAGACCACCUAGGAAGACCAGGUGCUGUAGGUG
rnacentral:rRNA from 1 species